rnacentral:rRNA from 1 species
UACGUAGGGUGCGAGCGUUGUCCGGAAUUAUUGGGCGUAAAGAGCUCGUAGGCGGUGUGUCACGUCGGCCGUGAAAACCUGCAGCUUAACUGUGGGCGUGCGGUCGAUACGGGCAUCACUGGAGUUCGGCAGGGGAGACUGGAAUUCCCGGUGUAGCGGUGAAAUGUGUAGAGAUCGGGAGGAGCACCGGUGGCGAAGGCGGGUCUCUGGGCAUUUCCUGACGCUGAGGCGCGAAAGCGUGGGGAGCAAACGGG